UUGCGGUUAAAAAGCUCGUAGUUGGAUUCCUGUAUGGAAAGUGCGUCCCUGCCCUUUGGAUGGGGGCUGCUUCUUUCUUUGCAUCAUCUGGAGUAGAUGUCCUCACUUAACUGUGAGGACAUUCGUACUCUGGGCAUUUACUUUGAGGAAAAGAGAGUGCUCCAAGCAGGCAAACGCCUGAAUACGUUAGCAUGGAAUAAUAGCAUCGGAUCAUCGUACAGCUGUUGGUGUCUGGACGAAGAUAAAGGUGAACAGGGAUAGUUGGGGGCAUUCGGAUUUAACUGUCAGAGGUGAAAUUCUUGGAUUUGUUGAAGACGAGCUACUGCGAAAGCAUUUGCCAAAGAUGCUCUCAUUGAUCAAGAACGAAAGUUAGGUGAUCGAAGACGAUCAGAUACCGUCCUAGUCUUAACCAUAAACUAUGCCAACUGGAGAUGGGGCGUGUUUAUUUUACGACUCUUCCUGCAUCUUGAGAGAAAUCAAAGUCUUUGGGUUCCGGGGGGAGUAUGGUCGCAAGGCUGAAACUUAAAGGAAUUGACGGAAGGGCACCACCAGGAGUGGAGCCUGCGGCU
rnacentral:rRNA from 1 species